rnacentral:rRNA from 1 species
UACGUAGGGGACUAGCGUUGUCCGGAAUCAUUGGGCGUAAAGAGCGUGUAGGCGGCCCGGUAAGUCCGCUGUAAAAGUCAAAGGCUCAACCUUUGAAUGUCAGUGGAUACUGCCGGGCUAGAGUCCGGAAGAGGCGAGUGGAACUCCUGGUGUAGCGGUGGAAUGCGCAGAUAUCAGGAAGAACACCAACGGCGAAGGCAGCUCGCUGGGGACGGUACUGACGCUGAGACGCGAAAGCGUGGGGAGCGAACAGG